rnacentral:rRNA from 1 species
GACGAGGCAGUAACACGUAGGUACGUACCUCGAAGUCGGGAAUAGCCCGGGGAAACCCGGAUUAAUACCCGAUAGACCCUCAGGGGUAAAGCUCCGGCGCUUCGAGAGCGGCCUGCGGCGUAUCAGCUAGUUGGUAGGGUAAUGGCCUACCAAGGCAAAGACGCGUAGGGGGAGUUAGCGCUCGAUCCCCGCCGAUGGGACCGAGACACGGCCCAUACACCUACGGGUGGCCGCAGUCGAGAAUCAUCCGCAAUGGGGGAAACCCUGACGGUGCGACGCUGCGUGGCUGAUGAAGUCCUUCGGGACGUAAAGGCCUUUUCUGGGGGAGGAAGUCAUUGACGUGUACCCCAGGAAUAAGGGGCUCCUAAACUCGUGCCAGCAGGAGCGGUAACACGAGUGCCCCGAGCGUUACCCGGAAUCACUGGGCGUAAAGGGUGCGUAGGCGGUUAUGUCAGUCCGCUGUUAAAGCCCUCGGCUCAACCGAGGAAUCGCAGCGGAUACGGCAUAACUAGAGGACGCGAGAGGUAGACGGAACCCAUGGUGUAGAGGUGAAAUUCGUUGAUAUCAUGGGGAACACCAAAAGCGAAGGCAGUCUACUGGCGCGUUCCUGACGCUGAGGCACGAAAGCUAGGGUAGCGAACGGGAUUAGAUACCCCGGUAGUCCUAGCCCUAAACGUUGCCCGCUAGCUUUUCGGAGUAUCGACCCUCCGAGAGGCGAAGCUAACGCGUUAAGCGGGCCGCCUGGGAAGUACGGCCGCAAGGCUAAACUCAAAGGAUAGA